rnacentral:misc_RNA from 1 species
AAGUCGUAACAAGGUAUCCGUAGGUGAACCUGCGGAUGGAUCAUUAUCACGUUAUCCACGUAUCAACCAUUGUGAACUGUUUUGUAUAUAUAUUGUUGUUUGUUUGGGGUUGUUUAAGAGCAAUCUUUUUCAAUUUCAACAUUCAUAAUAUAUAUAUUUUAUUAUUAACUAUUUAAACAAUUUUUAAAUAAUUAAUUUUUUGAACUGAAACAUUUCUUACUCUUUGGAGAAGAAAUAAAAAAUUACGAAACAUAAGAACAACUCUUAGCAACGGAUAUCUUGGUUCUC